UGACAAAACAUGUUUUUUUUAUGAGCAACAUUAAUAAAGCAAGUUAAAAAAAUUAAUGUACUGGAAAAAUUAAGGCAGAACAUGGGCCAUGAGGAGGGGAAGGUGAGUAGGUGGUUUUGUAGUUUAGUGAGUCGGUGAAGGCUAUAUUCGUCAUGUCGUAUUUAAAAUUAAUUUUGUGGUACUUAACUAGUGUGCGUAGUAGUGGUGGUAGCAGAUCUGUGAUCGACAUGUGAUGUGACAAAGAUUUUCAUUUUCUUAUUUGCACCGCACGCAAAUCGCCACCUUUUUUAGCGCUUCAUUUACGUGCGUUUUAUUCCUUCAUAAGUUGAAAAGUAGCUUGCA
rnacentral:lncRNA from 1 species